rnacentral:rRNA from 1 species
AGUGAACGCUGGCGGUAGGCCUAACACAUGCAAGUCGAACGGCAGCACAGUAAGAGCUUGCUCUUACGGGUGGCGAGUGGCGGACGGGUGAGGAAUACAUCGGAAUCUACUUUUUCGUGGGGGAUAACGUAGGGAAACUUACGCUAAUACCGCAUACGACCUACGGGUGAAAGCAGGGGAUCUUCGGACCUUGCGCGAUUGAAUGAGCCGAUGCCGGAUUAGCUAGUUGGCGGGGUAAAGGCCCACCAAGUCGACGAUCCGUAGCUGGUCUGAGAGGAUGAUCACCGACACUGGAACUGAGACACGGUCCAGACUCCUACGGGAGGCAGCAGUGGGGAAUAUUGGACAAUGGGCGCAAGCCUGAUCCAGCCAUACCGCGUGGGUGAAGAAGGCCUUCGGGUUGUAAAGACCUUUUGUUGGGAAAGAAAAGCAGCAGGUUAAUACCCCGCUGUUCUGACGGUACCCAAAGAAUAAGCACCGGCUAACUUCGUG